rnacentral:pre_miRNA from 1 species
CAUCCGGGUUGAGGUAGUAGGUUGUAUGGUUUAGAGUUACACCCUGGGAGUUAACUGUACAACCUUCUAGCUUUCCUUGGAGC